UAGUUCCACAUUUGAUGUCGCUAUCUUC
rnacentral:piRNA from 1 species